UGUGGGAGCUGGCUUGCCUGCGAUGCAGACAACUGGGUGUACCAAGCAAACCCAGUCGAUGCCAUCGCAGGCAAGCCAGCUCCCACA
rnacentral:misc_RNA from 1 species